ACUCAACUGCAGGUGUAGUAGUUGAAGCAGCAGCAAGUGCACCUGAGGGCGUGUCAGUGGCAACACAGCGAAAGUUUCCUGGUAGUAAUGAAUGCCAGUGGAGUCAUGCUGGUGACAUUCUGGGGGGUAAAGAGGACAAAUGGAGUAGCAGCAGCAUAUCCACAUGUGUCUGCCCACCAGCCCGGCCGGUCCCUACAGCUGAAGAAUGGCUAGAGCAUCCAUCACGCAGUGCUGCCCAGCUGGAGUGUAUGGAGUCCAAGGCAGAGCAUCAAACAGAGUUAUGCCUACAAAGGGUCGAAAGAAGCAGGAGAUACUACAUUUACAGUAGUUUUCACGGUUAUGUCACUGAGAAGCGGCUGGAUGACAUGCUCGGGGAAGAGCUCUUCAUGGAGUCCUAGAAAAGGCUGC